CUUCUUUACUAUAUUUUAUUUUAAAAUUUAGAUAAAGAUCCAUUUGAUCCUUUUGGCCUUUCAAAAACAAAUGCCAACUCUGCUGUUGUGGGUUUUGAUGCUGACCCAUUUGGUGCUGAUCCUUUUGGACCUGUAGCACCACCUAGGCCAGAGAGCCCAACACCUGCAUUACCACCUAAAAAGAGUAAGGCACCUCCUCCUAGACCCGCACCUCCUAAAGUUGGAACAGCCCCUUCAAAACCAGGACCAACACGGGCAGCACCUGCCCCACCCAUACCUGCUGCAGUUGACCCUUUCAAGCCAGCAGAUUUAGAGAAUUCCAGCAAUAAUGCAGCCUUCCCAGAUUUAUUUUCCAAACCAGCUAAGACUCAAGAUGCAUUUGACCCUUUCUCUAAUGCAACCACAGCAUCAGACAACUUUGCUAACUUUGAUAAUUUCGCUGAUUUUGACAACGUCAAGUGAAAGUGUUUGCUGCUAUCUGUAGUCAUAUAAACUAUGUAUAUUUUUAAUUUUAGGGUCAACACUUCAGAAAAUAAGACUGUAUGUCAUAUAGUUGUAAGUAACUAGAGGCUAAGAUUCAUGCAAAAAUCUUUAAACUAGUUGGAAUAAACUUUUGCUUUUUCUUCAUACAUUUCUUCUUUCAUAUAAAAGAAUGUGAAAAGUUUUCAUUAAUUUUUUCUUUUAAGUUAAAAAUGAAAUUGCUUGUAAUAUGCAUACAAAUUUUAUGUAUAUAUGUAUUAUGAUAUUAAUCAUUUAAGGUGCUGUCAAUAAGCAGUGGUGCCUUUGCAUAUUUAAAGCUAAAUUUCAUAUCUCAUGAAAUUUAAAUAUGAAUAUAUAAAAAUGAAUGAAACAUUAUUAUGUAAUAUGAAUGAAAUAUGAAUUUUAAAACAUUUUUAUUAUUUAUUUCAUCAUAAAACUUAAAAAGUGCAUAUUUAGAAAGAUAUAUAUAUGACAACAUAUUUGCACAGUAAGUAUUUGAGCACAAAAGAGUGAAAUUAUUUGUGUAAUUCCAACAUUGUUCUUGAAGAUAGUCAAAACUCUAAAAUCAUCAGUAGUAUUAGUUGUAAGGUUAAAGAAAUUAUGUGAGUAUUAUUUAGGACUACAGAAGUUUUAAAAUUUUGUUCUUAAUCUCGAAAACUUCUGCUAAAUUUAAUUUUCAGUCAAUGUAGCGGCUAAAAUAACAUCCCUUUUGUGUUUACAAGAAAAGUAUUUUUAGUACAAGUAUUUAAAAAUUGAUGUACAAAAACAUUGGGAGUUGAUCUAUUCUAAAUUUAUAAAUAAAAAAUUUGUUUAAUGUCUUUACUCUAAAAAAUGCAUUAUUUUUUUAUGAACAUCCCAUAAUCUGCUCUUUUAGCUUUUUUUAUUUAUAAACGCAAAACAUGCAUAGUCUUCAGCCUAUGUAAUAGUAUUUUGCGAACUUAUCCCCCCCCCCGUUUUAUUUUACUUUUGUAUGUAUAAAUUACUUUAUUUAUCUUCAUGGGCUUUCACUUUUAACAUCCAAUGUAAUGUAUUUAUUAUUUUUUAGUUAUGAAAAUGCAUUGACAAAUGAGGGGGGGGAGAAUGACUGUUUUGACAUUUUGAGAAACUUCUAGUUUUUAAUGAUACUCUGUUCUUUUGGUUCUUAUGAAAUAAAUGGGAAGGGCCUGCAUUGAGCUCUUUCGAUACUUAUUUAUGGAAGAAAACUAGUUUCAAGACAAAAUUUCUGCAUUCAGAAUUGUAAAAAAAAAUUGCUUAACAUAUUCGCUGUUGAUCACGCCCUGGCACAUGAUUACUGUUAUUGCUGAAAAGCCAAUCGCGCUGUGGUGCAUAGUGUAGGGUCUCAGGUACCAGUCACAGGCUGGCACAAGAAAAGCAAUGUUUCAUUGUUUAUUUUCAAGUUCAAUCAACAUUGUAUUUUGAAAUGUAUGCUGGUAUUGCCGUGGUGUGAAGGUUAGAAACUAGUUCUAAAUGCAUGUGGUUUGGAAUGAAGACAAAGUUUCAUUUCAUGCAAAGAUCAUACACAAAUAACAUUCUGAAAUAUAUAUUUUGCAAUAAUAUUAUAACUAUCUUAUAAUAAUAAAUUAAUUUAUAAUGUAUAUAUUUAAUAGCAGUAUAGUUUCAUACAAAGAGAAUGUAUAUUGUUAUUUAUUUUGAUUCAUUUUUAAAUGCAACACCCCAGUGCGUAAUGCGGCAUUGCAGCUAGAGAUCAGGUACUGAUGUAUAGUCAUAAAAUUCAUAAUAUUCUAUUCUUAAAGCAAUCAAUGUGGUACACAUAAUGAUCUUUUAUUACCUGUUUUUAAAUCAUGUUUCUUAUAAUAAGCAAGUCGACAGACAUAUGGGUAAAAUCUAUUUCUGUGACACAGAAUUAACUAUCAACAUGACUUUACAUGACCAGCAGCGAAUAUGUUAAGUGUAUAAUUUUGUUAUAUUAAAGUGUUUGAUUAAGAAAACUUUGUGUGCUUAGUGCAGCAUUCUUUCAAAGCCCCCAGUACAUGCUUUCCUUAUGUUUAUGAAACCCAAAAAAAAAAAAAAAAGGAGGAGGGGUUAUUCUGAAUUAUAAGUUGAUUUGGGAAGUCUCUUAUUAUAUGAGAUCCUAGCAGUACCCAAGCCCUGCAUAUCAUGCAUAGGAAAAAAGUUCAUUGUUCGCAAAACAAAACAAAAUCAAAAAAAAAGAAGGGGGGAGAACAAAAAGGUCCCACCUCCAAUUAAACACAAAGCUUUUAACCUGAUUAUGUAGUUAGUUUAAAGGAUUUUUUUAAUAAAUAAUUAACAGUAAGAUUAAUCUUUAACUGCUUGCAUAUAAUUAAUUGUAAAUAAUUAUAAUAAUAUAUUUAGGUAUGCAUAACAAGUGUAUAAAUAUUUAUAUCUUAAAAAUUUUUCCAACUAAGUUUAUUGAUGUUUGCAUCAGUUAUGUGUUUAAUCUUUGAAGAUUAGUAGUAUGAAUGAUGUGUGUGACAUAACUCUUUGACCUAUGUAAAUAUUUGUUGCUUGUGAAUGUAUUGUUUGUUUAUCUAUAAUGUGAAAUAAGAUAGUUCUAUUAGAAUCUCAUAGGAACUAAAGUUAAUGUGAUUCCCUUCUCUGUGAAAUAUACAACUUUGCAAAAAAUGAAGUUAAUUUUCUUUGAAUACUUUUUUGUAUAAAAAGCAGAUUCAGAUUUUUUUAAUAUGAGAAUUUCAUCUCGUACUUUUAACAACUAGCACUAAAAAAAUUUACUGUUGACUUUAUUGUAAAUGCCAUUAUGUAUUUAUUCUAAGGAAUAUUAUCUAAUGACAGCAAAGCUAAAGUGUAUGAAGUACGUCUGUCCUCAGAUUGCAAAAGCUUAUGCUGUUUGAUGUAAAUUUACUUUUAUUUUUCAUUUUUAUAAAAAAAAAUUUUUGAAACUUACUUAAAUAUGUAUUUUUCUGUGUGGAAGUUAUGGUAAAAUCAAAAACUUUAAAGUAUAAAGCUAUUUAAAAUUUGUUAAAGGUGUUUGCCUUUUUUUAUAUAUAAUUGUAGGUAUUGAAGAGAAAAAUAAAGAAUUAACAUUUUUAAUUGCUAAUGCAUAAUUGUGGAUUUUCAUGCAUAAUAUGGGAUGGCUAUGAAAACAUCAGUUUGAGCAAUAUUUUACAAAUUUAGCUGUUGCAUAUAUAAAACAUAUAUUUCAAGUAUUACAGGUCUUUUCUUUAUCAAACACUAAACAGCAUAUUUGUAAGCUUUUUCUUGUGAUGAUUAUUCCAGGUUGAUAAAUUUUGCAAGCUAAGUCCUUAAUUAUUUAUCAUUGUUGUGGCAUUACUGAAGGUAUGUUACAAGGUAUAUAUAUUGUAAUAAACGAGAAGAAAUUCCAAAUCUAUUAAGAAUCCUGUAUAUGAAAUGCAAACUUAUUAGAAAUGUGUUAUAAGUUAAAGAAUAAUUGUUCUGAAAUGGUAGUUGGUGUUGAAUAUAUUGGUUCAUACGUUUCACAUAAAGGUUAUCUAUCACUUUAUAAUUUUCAUAUAAGUCUAUGAAGUGUGAAGAUCUGUCACUUGAGAGCUUUAUUUCUUUUAUUUUUUAGGCUAGUAAUGCACUCAUAUUUCUUUAUUAUUGCAUGGAGGCAGUAUAUCCAUUAUUUAUAUUACUACAGUAAAACAAUUUUUAUGCUAGUAAUUGAAAUAAAGUAAAACAUUUAAUCUAUGUAGUAAAAAUUUAUAUCAAAUUUUAAGUGCCUGCAUCUUUUCACAUUUAUUUUGAUUGUAAAGGGGGAAAAAAUUCCCCAUGCAAUAGGAAAGGGGCAGUUUACCCUGACCCUAUCCUCUAUUUAAGAAAUAUAAUUGUUUCUUGCUAUUAAUCAUUUUGAAUAUAUCUUGAAUUUACUUCCUUUAUUCCAUUUCAGAUUGUAAAUUAAAUUUAAAAUAUAUAUUGCAUAAAUUUAUUAGAAUUUGUAAUAAACUAACUUUUUAGGUACAGUUUUAAAGUUUCUUUUGAUUGUUAUAUAUUUGCAUGCAUUUUAUGCAUGCAUAAAGUUAUGAACUUCUUUUUCUUCUGUUGCUUUCAUAUACUUUUAUAGUAAGUAUAUUUAAAACAUACAUUAACUCGCAUUCUGUUAGUUUUAAAUUAUUUGAUUUGCCUGGGGUGUUACUUAUAUUCAUUGUCAUUUUUGUAGUUUCUAAUAAUGUAUAAAUUUUCAAGUAUUAUUUUGCUUUUUGACUCCAUUUUCUGCAUAAUGCAUUUCUUUUCUUCUGUUUUUUUUAAUUGACUAUUAAAUUAGUAAUUAUUUUACAUAUAAAUACACUAACUACAAUAAUGGAGUAUGUAUGAAUUUAUUAAAUAUAUUUCUGAAUAUAAACAUAUUUUGUUCAUAUAAGCAUACACUAUCUAGUAUUUCUUUAAUUUAAUUAAUUGUUUUUAAUGGUUAAGUGAAUAAUAAUGCAGGUUUAUAUGUUGUGAAUAUCUGUUCCCGUUUUAAUAAUAAUUUCAGAACUAAUUAAUCAGUUAUAAACUGGUGACAUUAUGAUGUAAUGUGCAUUCAUUUUAUUUUAUCAUAUCGAGAAUGUUGAGAAAUACAUUUUUCUUGAAUUUCUUAAUGCCUGGGAAAUAUAAUAAUACAUAUGUGUUGGCUGCUAAUUAGAACAGCAUCUGUUUUUAUAUCACUGCCGUAUAGUUGUAGUUAAUAUUUAGAUUGUUUUUUAUACUAGCUAUCUUCUGAAGCAUAAUAAAUUGGUAUACUUUUUGUCCACAGAUUAAAAUUAUAACAUAGUUAAGAUUAUUAGCCGGAAAUGUAUUUUUUUAUGGAAAUAUAAAAGCAUAUUUUAUUUGAGUUACCUACUUUAAGCUAGUUGAUUAUUUACCAGGCAUUAAAUGAUAAUCAUUUAACAUUGUUGCAUUUACAAAUCUUAGUGUUUAUUUAAUAUUUGGAUGAAUAUUAUUUAUGGAAGGUUACAAGAAAAAUUACAUAUUGCUUUUAUUAAAUGAGAAAAAUUCUUAUUGUCUUUUAAAUUUCCUACAGAGUUUAUUGAAAACUAAUUAUGAAUAUAUAUAAUGUAAAAUGAUCUCUAAUGUGUUGUGUUUUUCUCUGCUCAGCAUACAACAUUCAGAACUUUUUACGCUUCCAUAAAUAACUGGCUGUAUUUGUUGUUUCUGUGUUUUACAUUGAAAUCAUUUCAUAAUCAAUGUUUUUUCUAGUCUCAACUCUCAUAAAGUUUAUUUUAUAAUUUUAUUUCCAUAAAGUUGCUACUCUUCAUAUGCCUUGUAGUAACUUCUUGGAAAUUUUUUGUGUGUAUACUUAAAGCUGUAAACAUAUGCUGAGACUCAGUGAAAAAUUGUUGAAAAUAUAAAUUAAUUUUUCCCAAUAAAUUUUAAUAAAAAGAUUUGUAGUUUCA